UACGUAGGGUCCGAGCGUUGUCCGGAAUUACUGGGCGUAAAGAGCUCGUAGGUGGUUUGUCGCGUUGUUCGUGAAAACUCACAGCUCAACUGUGGGCGUGCGGGCGAUACGGGCAGACUGGAGUACUGCAGGGGAGACUGGAAGUUCCUGGUGUAGCGGUGGAAUGCGCAGAUAUCAGGAGGAACACCGGUGGCGAAGGCGGGUCUCUGGGCAGUAACUGACGCUGGAGGAGCGAAAGCGUGGGGAGCGAACAGG
rnacentral:rRNA from 1 species